AAAGCAACGUUACUCUGCUCUCGCUCUGGGUUGAGACGCCGUUUAUAGCUCAGUGGCAGAGACGAACUGCAAGUUGAACUCGGCAGAGAGAAGAAAGACUAAGUAGCAGCUGAAGAGAAACAUGAGACCCACCUGAUCUUGGACAGUGGGACCACAUUAAUAAUGAGUGAUGGGCUGAUGGUGCUCGCUGUUCGUUUCCACGGCGACGGCUGCGACCGGCUGGGGCUGUACCCUGGCAGGUGUCAAGGCUCG